rnacentral:rRNA from 1 species
AGCGUAGACGGUGUGGCAAGUCUGAUGUGAAAGGCAUGGGCUCAACCUGUGGACUGCAUUGGAAACUGUCAUACUUGAGUGCCGGAGGGGUAAGCGGAAUUCCUAGUGUAGCGGUGAAAUGCGUAGAUAUUAGGAGGAACACCAGUGGCGAAGGCGGCUUACUGGACGGUAACUGACGUUGAGGCUCGAAAGCUAGGGUAGCAACG